CUUGAUAAACUUAUAAAAGGUCCAGCCUGCCCAGUGACUCUGUUCAACGGCCGCGGUAUCCUAACCGUGCGAAGGUAGCGUAAUCACUUGUUCUUUAAAUGAGGACUAGUAUGAAUGGCACCACGAAGGUUAUACUGUCUCCUUUUUCUAAUCAGUGAAACUAAUCUUCCCGUGAAGAAGCGGGAAUAAAAAUAUAAGACGAGAAGACCCUAUGGAGCUUUAAACAAAUAUACACCUGCCUUCCCACCAAAAAAAUUUCAGCAAACAAAUAAUUACCCAGGCAUUUUGAUAUAGCGUUUUAGGUUGGGGUGACCACGGAGCAAAAAACAACCUCCGCAACGAACGGGAAAAUCUUUCCCUAAACCAAGGGCCACGACCCCAAGUAUCGAUAAAUCGACACUAAUUGACCCAAUAAAUUUGAUCAAUGAAC
rnacentral:rRNA from 1 species